rnacentral:rRNA from 1 species
UACAGAGGGGGCAAGCGUUGUCCGGAUUUACUGGGCGUAAAGAGCGCGCAGGCGGUCGUUCAAGUCGAGUGUGAAAGCCCCCGGCUCAACUGGGGAGGGUCAUUCGAUACUGAUCGACUCGAAGGCAGGAGAGGGUAGUGGAAUUCCCGGUGUAGUGGUGAAAUGCGUAGAUAUCGGGAGGAACACCAGUGGCGAAGGCGACUACCUGGCCUGUUCUUGACGCUGAGGCGCGAAAGCUAGGGGAGCAAACGGG